rnacentral:lncRNA from 1 species
GGCACAUGGAGGUCCUGGGCCAGGGAUCAGAUCUGAGCCGCAGCUGCGACCAUCAAGUGUGGCAACGCUGGAUCCUUAACCCACUGUGCCAGAUUUGGCCUGUUCUUUUCUCCCAGAGAAAGUUUUAUGCUGCUCAUCUCAGUCCCUAUCUUAGUCCUCCUAGAAGCAAAAAGACACACUUUCAGAGACAGGGAAAAGUUACCAUAUGAUCCAUACAGAUGAUUAGUUAAAAACAGUGAUGACCAUUUGGAAAUCAAACUUGUGACACGAGUCCUUUAUUUUUCCAUUUUAAAUUUUCUGAAGUUUGAACCUUAGGCACUUAAACUAAAGACGAAGCCGAUAAAAGAUGCCUCCCUGAGGCUCACACCUCUAUACUGACACCAAAGGAAAUACUGCCUCCCAGUGAAAUUCCGAGGCUGCUGUGUUGUGCCUGGAAAAGUGCUCGUGGAGCCUGCAUGCACCCCCCACCCCCCGCCCCCGUUUGAUGCAUGGAAAUCACUUCAACACCCCAAGCACAAAGGCAACUUCCCCACCCUCAAGGACAGUUUUCAGUCCUACAGAGGUGGUGGAGGGAAAGGCCCAGCGUGCACCUGCUCCCAUAGGGGUGAACUAGCUCUGUCAGCCUCCGGAGAGCAUGGGCUGCUUUGAGAGUGUGAUGAAGGGACAGCUCCUCUCCCUAGAAAAACCUGGACAAACAAACUUUAUCUUUCACUUUAGGGGGUUAGAAACCUCCUGAGAUGCCCCACGAUCCCCACGUUGAGAACUCUGGCCCUGAGUACAUGGCACAUUAUUCUAUCACACACCUGCGCUCACGCGGAGCUGUGACCAGUUGUUCGCAAAGUCUGCUGGGAGACCCCUGUCCCCACAAAGGGCCUGAGCGGAAGGGCGCAGGUGCACCUGCGUGUCCAAGCUCAGCAGGGGGCUGGCUCUUAGCAGAGCUGGUACAGGAUCUCGGACACGUUUGAGACGGAAAGCGAGGCUGUUAUCCAUCACAGCAGGCGUGCGCAGGGCUGUCCUAGGCACACCGGGACACACAGGCGCCCUUAGGAUGCCUUGACAAUCUCCCGAGGAAGACUCCCAUCAUUCUCUCCCUAUGGAACCUUCCGGAUUUUACAAUCUGAGGCGACACACAGGUAUCAGCUUGCAGAGGAAAACAUGCCAAAGAACCCAUCUACUUAUCAGAGGCAACCUCAAUCACACCUUGCUGCACGGAUGGGGGAGGUCACUGGGGCUCAGAAGGGUGUUCCCAGCCCUGCUCUGGGGAAGUUAACAGACUCUCUGGGCAUGAGUGUCCUGUUCUGAGAUUAAUUUAAUCUGGCAAAUAUCUGAACACGUGCUCUAUGUCAGCUGCCAGGAAAACCCUUGGUCUAUUAAGUGCACACGCGGAAAUGGAAGGACCUGCGGUCGCGUCCUCACCGACUCCUAGGCUCACAAUUUUCAGUUUCUUCUGCUCCCACAAUCGCCCCAUAACCCAGCAUUACUGGCAGAGUUUAGAAGGCUUUAGUGCGUUGAUCCACAGACAGGAAACUCGCCUGGAGAACGGAAGAACAAGGGCCAGAGAGUCCCCAGAGCAUGUUAGAUUUAGUGACGGUCACUGACAGCUGCCUGUGGAGUCAGUGACAAGUCUCGCACUGGAUCAACUACUUCCUGGGCACCAGGAAGACAUGGGAACCAAGCGUCUCCUUUUUUGAAGAGCGCGCUGGAACUCAGACCCCGCGGGUGCUGUCCUGCUUCCCAGCAGUCGCUCUGGAAGGCUACACCUGGACUCCAAGUGAACGGCACGUGGGAACUUUCCUUCCCGAGUGACCUUCCGAACCUGCAGCACCUCCCUGGCACUCUCCAUGGCAGCACAUCUUCCUCCUCUCAAGUGGCAUCACUUUGAGAAACCAGUUCAGAGCCUGGCACUCUCCAGGGCAGCAUGUCUUCCUCCUCUCAAAGAAACCAGUGCAGAGCCUAGUCUGGUCAGUGGGGUGAGUUCCCAAGCAAGGUAAGAGCAUUUCUGGUCACACGUGGGGUGUGACCACGGAAUGAGACUGAUACAUAUCCCAAACAAGGCUUAUAUAUUUACUACAAAAACAGGACUUCGAAAGAGGUUUGGCAAAGGAGCGCCAAUGAAUAUAAACAUAACCAUCCAGGCUAACAACUUUUAAUAGAGCAGCCCUACCUGAAUGCUCAAGUCUGGUACGCCUAGUUAAAAUGCAGAUUCAGGAGUUCCCGUCCUGGCACAGCGGAAACAAAUCUGACUGAGAACCAUGAGGUUGCGGGUUUGAUGCCUGGCCUCGCUCACUGAGUUAAGGAUCUGGCGUUGCCAUGAGCUGUGGUAUAGGUCACAGACGCGUCUCGGAUCUGGCAUUGCUGUGGCGGUGGCGUAGGCCAGCAGGGCAGCUGUAGCUCUGAUUGGACCCCUAGCCUGGGAAUCUCCAUAUGCCGCGGGUGCAGCCCUAAAAA